AGCUGGUUGACUUCUGGCCUUCCAUCGCUUACCUAGCAACCUUGUCUCUCUGUGCUAAGUAUUUCUAAGUCAACUCUUUGAUUUCCAUUUACUUCCAUGGAUUUGUUGGUGACUGCUAGAGACAUCCAAACUAAUGGGUUACCUUGACCUUCAACUCUUCCAAGCAGAUUCUCAAAGCUACAGAGGAAGCAGGAAGUUAUACACAACUCGAAGGUGGCAGAUGAGAAAGUUGCCUUAGUUUCAGAAGAGGGGCUGCAGACCCUAUCUAGCAGACCUGCUAGACGUCCAACCUGGGAUAGGAUUUUAAAAGCUAAGAAAAUCUGAAUUAAAACGGCCAGUGAUGGUCAUCUUACUGGGGCUGAUCUUGACAGGAAUGUAGCAACAGAUGACAUAAAAUUCUGUGCUGAGUGGUCCUAUCAUGUGCCCUGACUGGGAAUGGAACUGUGACCAUCUGGUUCAUAGGUUAACGCUCAACCACUCACACCAGUCAAGCAAGGUGGAGAUUCUUGUUCAUAUUCUUCAUGUGUUCCC